rnacentral:rRNA from 1 species
GGGUGCGAUCAUACCAGCACUAAUGCGCCGGA